GUGUCGUACACCAAAGACGGAUACGUCAUGAUGGACGAAUCGGUGUGUCUAGAUUCUCCGGAAGAGAGAAAAGACGCGACCGUAAUGAUCCUAGCGUGUAACGAAUUUGCCAGACAGAAGUGGAAAUACGACGUAAAGACGUCUCGGUUCGUGCACGCCAACAGUAAACUCUGCCUGGACCUCAACGCCGACGCUCUCGUCCUCCGACCGUGUACCGAGAAAAGCGGGCAGAAAUGGCUUUUGGAGCCCGUCGAGUGGAAGUCCUAGUCUCUGUUCCUCCGAGCCGUUUUGUAUUCGUAAAUAAAGACCAUCAAACUUUA